CCAGCAGCUGCGGUAAUUCCAGCUCCAAUAGCGUAUAUUAAAGUUGUUGCAGUUAAAAAGCUCGUAGUUGGAUUUCUGGUAGAAGGUUAGAGCGCACCUGCGUGAUGCUCGCGUCUUCUGCCAUCCUUCUGUUAACCUUUCUUGGCAUUGAUUUGCCGGUUAGGGGCUCAGAUAUUUUACCUUGAGAAAAUUAGAGUGUUUCAGGCAGGCUUGUGCCCGGAUACAUUAGCAUGGAAUAAUAGAACAGGACUUUAGCCUCUUCUGUUGGUCUGAGGGGUUGAAGUAAUGAUUAAUAGGGAUAGUUGGGGGCAUUAGUACUUAACUGUCAGAGGUGAAAUUCUCGGAUUUGUUAAAGACUAACUUAUGCGAAAGCAUUUGCCAAGGAUGUUUUCAUUAAUCAAGAACGAAAGU
rnacentral:rRNA from 1 species